rnacentral:rRNA from 1 species
UCGAAGUCUGCAACCCGACUUCGUGAAGCUGGAUUCGCUAGUAAUCGCGCAUCAGCCAUGGCGCGGUGAAUACGUUCCCGGGCCUUGUACACACCGCCCGUCAAGCCAUGAAAGCCGGGGGUACCUGAAGUACGUAACCGCAAGGAUCGUCCUAGGGUAAAACUGGUAAUUGGGGCUAAGUCGUAACAAGGUAAC